GGACCACUGACAGAAGAGACCAGCACAGGACUGGACAUGGACCACAGACUGAGGAUCAUCUGGAUGUCCUUCUGGGUCAGAGUGUGUCUCCUCUUCACCUCCUCUUUACCUGCUGCAGGAGUUCAGAUCAGACUGGUUGGUCCUGGUUCUACUCGGUGCUCUGGUAGGGUUGAGGUCUUCCAUGGUGGUACCUGGGGAACAGUCUGUGAUGAUGGAUGGGACUUAAAUGAUGCUCAGGUGGUUUGUAGACAGAUGAAC